UGGGCAUCACUCCAGUGAAUAUUCUGUUCAAUCACUAGAAUUUUCAUGCGGUUAAAGUCAUCAGGUUUGUGACCCGACUGUCUGAAGUGCUGAGAAACUGGGAGAAGUGGCUUCUUAGAGAUAACACUCCUAUGGCCAUUGAGGCGUUUGUGGAAAGGCUGCUUUGACUCACCAACAUAUUGGAGGCCACAAACCGAACAUUCUAGUAUGUAAAUAACAUUCAUACUUUUGCAGGUAACAUUGCAAAAUAUCUUAUAGUUGUUUUCGGUUGCCUUACUGUGAAAUGUUGAUGAAUGCUGCAUCUGUAGGCAGCAUUUGCAGCGUUUUUCUUCACACGAACGACAUUCUCCAGAAGUACUUCUAUUAUCAGACACUUCAGCCCGCACCAGCAGGUUCCG
rnacentral:lncRNA from 1 species